UACGGAGGGUGCGAGCGUUGUCCGGAAUCAUUGGGCGUAAAGGGCGCGUAGGUGGCCCGGCCAGUCUUUGGUGAAAGCGCGGGGCUCAACCCUGCGUCGGCCAGGGAUACUGCCGCGGCUCGAGCACUGUAGAGGCAGGCGGAAUUCCGGGUGUAGCGGUGGAAUGCGUAGAGAUCCGGAAGAACACCGGUGGCGAAGGCGGUCGACUGGGCCAGUACUGACGCUGAGGCGCGACAGCGUGGGGAGCAAACAGG
rnacentral:rRNA from 1 species